UUUGGAAAUACACACAUUCCUGACUGAACUGUUCCUGUGGCAGCAUGUACGUUUCGAAAAGGGUUUGGUGUGAGGAGUGGGGUUUGGUGUGAGAAGAAGAGAUACUGCAGAUGAUCUUCUCCAACAAUACCACCGCCCGCCUGCCAGACCAUCUCACAAGACCUCCUCCCCUUCAUUACUUCCAUUAUAAGGGACUCCAUGACAUGACAUUACAUGGAGGCGAUCCACACCUUCUAUGCAGACUCUCCACUGGUGGAUUCUCUUCUGUUCUCCUUCCAUGUCUGCUCUCUCAGUAAGUUCAUAGUCUCAGUAUCAGCUCUCCCAGCAGUCUCCUACCUUAAAGCAUUUAUCACACCCUGCUGUGGACCAUGCUCCUUUCCACUGGCUUCCUUCGACUGGACCCACCAUCAAUCAAGGUUCAAGGAAGAUAUGCAUCAAGACUCCUGCACCCAGGUUGUGUAAUGAACUCCCUCUGGCUGCAGAUCAGCUGAGUCACUGGCUUCAAAUGAAGACUAAAGACCUACUUCUUCCCCAAGCACUUAAAGGAAUGCCAAUUUAAAAAGAAAAAAAAUCGCUUGACUUGUGUGUUUUCUUUUCUUGCUUUACGAACGAUCAGGGUUUUAGAUUGAUGGUACUCUUAGUCCCUGACAUAGUGAACAAGUAUGAAGAUGUUUCUGAUAGAGACACAAAACACUUCUAUAAGUCUCUCUGGAUAACGGCAUCUGCUAAAUGCUGUAAAUGCGAAUGUAAUUAAUGUGAGUUAAUUAUAGAAGCAUUGUUGUGAAUGAUCAGGACGAGGCGUGAGAAGCAGUGAAGGGGUAAUUCUGUCUCCUCAGAACUGAGUGCUGGAGUUAAAACAUGUGGAUCUGUGUCUUAUGCUUCAUCUUAUUGACAUCUUAAUUACUGAGUGGAGAAGGUGAGCGCAGAGCUGUUAUUCCUCACACCACCACGUCUUCUUUUUCUUCUUCUUCUUCUCUUCUCCUCCUCCUCCUCUUCCUGGUUGCUGUCUUUCCUUCUGAAUGCCACUUUUUAUCAUCAGAAAUUUCAUUCCUCAGGUGGAAGGUGAGCUCAGAAUAAACAGAUAGCCUGUUUGGCUAAUCAGAAUAUAUAAAGUGGAGGUCCUGUUUCUCAGUCAAUCUCCAUUUCUGUGAAAGAGCAUUGAUCAGUCACUGCAGUAGAGUUAACGCGUAUCAUAUUUCAAUGUUUCCAGCAUGUUAGCCAGGAAGUAAAGCCUCCAACAACAGGAUACAGCCAUGCCCAAGAGCAAACCCCACUGAUGCUUAUUACCUUAUAUACAUUUUGCUGCUACAUCUGUGAAAUGACAUUAAUAAUUAAAGCAGAAUGAUCAGUACUUUAAUCUUCCCUUUUAGCAGCUUUAAUCAGGAUGUAGUUAAAUCUCACCCCUGUUUUACACUCUGUGGUGCUGAUUGAAAAUUUAUCCUCGUCUCAAAUGCAGUGACUUUUAACCUCCCGUGCAAAAAUAAAUAAACACACAAUCGUACAAGCUUCAGUGUUGUCUAGUCUGCACUUUUGAUAGGCUGUCUGAAAAUGUUGAGUUUUCUAAUAAAAUGAGCAUGGAUAAAAUGUCCAUGCUGUUAGAGUUCAUUAGCGAGGCUAAGCUUAUCCUGUGCUUUAUUUAGUGAAGUGUUUAAUGAAUGCUAUGCUAACAGCAGGGGGUCAGUGUGGAGUGCAUUAACAUCUCUUCAACACUGUGUGUGUGUGUCUGUGAGGUAUGCAUUACACUGAGAGGGACUGAGAUGGAGCUUUUUAACUGAUUACUGCGUUGGCAAUUAGUGUUAGCCGCUGAUGCUAAAGAAGUAAAGGGCAAUAAAACCAUCUGUGUGCAGGAUUCCAUUAAGCCGAGUGCUACCACACACACACACACACACACACACACACACACACACACACACACACACACUCGGUUGUAGAUAAAUCAGUAGGCAUUAGGAGGAGGAGAGGAUGGUACUUUUCAAACAUGGCAGGUGGGUCAGAAGUGAAAAAUUCACAUCACAGGUCAAAUCUGACUUGUUUAGUUUGACUGUAGUUACAGACAUACUGUGCGCUGUUUAGCGCAGGACAUGAGCUACUGUUACCAACCUGAAGUGGAUUAUUUUCCUAUAACAGCGUAUAGGAAGUGUACUAUACCACAGCAAUCUGGUAAUGAUUACAAUUUUAUAUUUAUUAAAGAACCACAUCAUACAUAGUUACAUUUAACGUUGUGGAACCUUGAUGGAACAAGUUACUUCCUGUUUUCACUUACAGUCAGGUCCAGAAAUAUUUUAGCUUUCAUUGGGGUUGAAAUUAAAUAAUGGUUAUGGGAACAAAGUGCAGACUUUAACUUGAGGGAUUUACAUCCAUAUCGGGUGAAGGCAGUAGGAAUUACAGAACUCUUUAUAUACGCUUUCCUCCCUUUUUAAAGGACCAACAAUAACCAGAUGAACAGAAUUAUAAAUUAUAUUGUAAUUUUUAAAACUUGGUUGCAAGUCCUUUUGGCAAUUUUCUAAGGGAGGCAUGGUGGCUUAGUGGGUAGAACAUUAGUCUCGUACCUCCAGGGUUUGGCAUUUGAUUCCCGUCUCCUCUCUGAGUGUGUGGAGAUUGCAUGCUCUCCCCAUGCUUUUGGGGUUCCCUCCAGGUACUCCAGUUUCCUCCCCCAGUCCAAAGACAUGUGUUGUAGGCUGACUGGUAUUUCCAAAUUGUCCGGUGUGUAUGUGUGGUUGUGCCCUGUGAUGGAUUAGCACCCCAACCAGGGUGUCUCCCACCUCAUGCCCAAGUUCCUUGGUGUAUUCUAUUUAGUGCUACAGAAAAUAAAUGGACAAUUUCUAAUUGUUGAAAUGACUGUAAGGAAAUGAAACAAAUAUAUUUCAGAUUUUUGGUGUGACAUUAGCCUGGGGGCUGAGAGAGAUGAGUCUUUAAUCUCUGUAUAUAUUACUCUGUGUGUGUGUGUGUGUGUGUGUGUGUGUGUGUGUGUGUGUGUGUGUGUGUGUGUGAAGUCUGAAAUGAUCAAAGAUGAGCUGUGAGUUCAGAAUCUUUGUUUCUGUCAAUCUUUAUUUCUCUGGCUUUUAGACACACACACACACACACACACACACACACACACACACACACACACACACACACACACAGAGAGAGACUGUGUAGAUGGCAAAAGAGGACAUGAUGGAUUCUAAUAAUUAAUAACAAAUAAAAACAGAACUUUGUUCUAGAGUAGCAUAAAACGGGUAUAUUAACAUAUAUUAAGGCUGUGUGUUUAUUAAUAAUAAGUUUAUUGGGAUAAAUUCGCACUUUUAAUAUCUGUAUACGGUGUUGAUAUUUCUUUAAAGUUGCUUUAAGACAAUGUCUAUUGUAAAAAGUGCUAUACAAAUAAAAUUGAAUUGAAUUGAAUUUAAUUAAUAAAUAACUCAUACAUUCUUUACACACUAUUUACACACUCUUUAAACACUAUUUACACACAAUUUACACACUGUUUACAGACUCUUUACACUAUACACUCUUGACACACUCUUUACACACUCUUGACACACUAUUUACACACUCUUUACACAUGCUUUACACACUCUUGACACACUCUUGACAAACUCUUGACACACGCUUUACACACUGUUUACACACUCUUUACACACUGUUUACACACUCUUUACACACUCUUUACCUAGCUUUACACACUGUUUACACACUCUUGACACACUCUUUACAUACCCUUUACACACUGUUUACACACUCUUUACACACUGUUUAGACACUCUUGAUACACGCUUUACACAUUUACACACUCUUGACACACUCUUUACACACUGUUUACACACGCUUUACACACUGUUUACACACGCUUUACACACUGUUUACACACGCUUUACACACUGUUUGCACACUCUUUACA
ensembl:lncRNA